rnacentral:rRNA from 1 species
UACGGGGGGGGCAAGCGUUGUUCGGAAUUACUGGGCGUAAAGGGCUCGUAGGCGGCCAACUAAGUCCGACGUGAAAUCCCCAGGCUUAACCUGGGAACUGCGUCGGAUACUGGAUGGCUUGAAUUCGGGAGAGGGAUGCAGAAUUCCAGGUGUAGCGGUGAAAUGCGUAGAUAUCAGGAAGAACACCCGUGGCGAAGGCGGCUCUCUGGAACGCAACUGACGCUGAGACGCGAAAGCGUGGGGAGCAAACAGG